rnacentral:rRNA from 1 species
UACGUAGGGGGCAAGCGUUAAUCGGAAUUACUGGGCGUAAAGCGUGCGUAGGCGGCUCGGCAAGUCAGAUGUGAAAUCCCCGGGCUUAACCUGGGAACUGCGUUUGAAACUACGGGGCUAGAGUGUGGCAGAGGGGGGUGGAAUUCCACGUGUAGCAGUGAAAUGCGUAGAUAUGUGGAGGAACACCGAUGGCGAAGGCAACCCCCUGGGCCGACACUGACGCUGAGGCACGAAAGCGUGGGGAGCAAACAGG